UGAUGAUGAUGAAGAUGGUGGUGGUGAUGAUGGUGAUGAUAAUAAUGAUGAACACCAAUUACAACAGCGUAAGUCUACCACCAUCUCAUCAUCAUCAUCAUCAUCAUCAUCACCAUCAUCAUCA
rnacentral:pre_miRNA from 1 species